rnacentral:sRNA from 1 species
UUUUUGACCUGGCAUACAGGAAGUGAAUGGAUGAGGCACGAUAGAUCAUUCUCAUAAGGAUUAAAACAUCAAAUCAAAGGAUAUUUUAUAAAAGGUCUACAUGUCUCCUGGUGGAUUAAACAGAAGCAACAGACAAGAACUUACUGUCAAAACUGGACAUUGUAAACACAAAUAUUUGAA